rnacentral:lncRNA from 1 species
AAAUGCUGCAGAAUUGCUUGCUCAGCCUCUUAUAUCCCUUAGUCACCUCUGAAUUUGGAAUUCAGAUACUCUCCUUUAGCUUCCUUCCUUAGUAGGAAGGCCGUCUGAGCUUGGAGGCAUCAUACACACAUCACACCUUCAUCCAAACUUUCAUCAAACACCUUCUAUGAAUCAUCCAUUUCACUGCACCAAUUCCCAUUCCGCUGCAUCUCUGUUUUUGAGCUUCUUCUUGCGUGCUUUUUGCUAGGAGAGGAUUCCAUCAAGUGGUAUCAUGAGCUUAGGUCGUCCACGCAUCAAGAGUUAAGCUAUUCCUCCAUAUUUUCACUUCAAUUCUGCAUUCUGUUGUGUUUUCUGUUUCAGAUUUUCCAGUCUCUGUUUUGAAUUUUUUUUUUUUUUUGUUCGUUAUUGUUACAACACUCUGGUGUUGUCUUUGGUUCUGUUAUUGGUGUUCCAUUGUGUGUUCAUGUGUAUCCUUCAUUUUAAAUGGUGAAUCAUUAUUGUUUGUGUCAAUUCCAGCUUCAUUCUUCAAUUCCUGUACUGUCACACGGUCAUGUGCACACCAUUGUUGCAGUUUUAAUUAUGUUUUUCUUGGUUUUUCUAUUCUCCUGGGUUUAAUUCAGUUUCUUUGAGAUUGAAGUACUGGAAAGGCUUAAAAUAAACCAAAUAAGGCAAUGAGAACAUGUUCUAGCCUUGGUGAUAGAAGCAAAAGCACUAGAAACUAAUUCUGGUUUCAAUACUACUCAAGAAAUUCAAAUCUGUUUUGGAAAAUUCAAAUCUGUUCCAGUUAAUUUCUUUUGAUUCUGGUGUUUUAUACAAACUUGUUUGAGUUUGUUGGAUGUGUCUUAAGGUGCAGAAAACCAAAAUAAGCAAUGAAAUGCAAUAUGCAUAGCUUGGUUGCUUAAAAUCCUUAAGAAUUCCACUGUUUCAGUUUGAGAAAUCUGGUUUUCACCGUGCCAAUUGAAUUGAAUUGUGUAAUUUGAGUUUGGUCAUGCUAAGCACCUUAAUUCUAGCUUAGUUCUGUGUAAUGACACUUCCUUGAGUCAUUUUCUUUGUUGUCCAGCCGUUGAUUCCAUGGAAAACUGAUUUUGGGUGGUUUCUUGAUGUAUUUUGCUGCAUAAUUUGGGUAUAGCAAGGGUGAUUUUCGAAUCUUGCUAUUUCUGUACCUUUGGAAAGCUUGAUCAAGUCUAUUUUGAUGAUUGAAAGUUGCUCAUACUGUUCAUUUAGUCAAAAUUUAGCUUAUAUGCAGAAUUACAUUUUGAACCAACAUCUUUUGAGUUAAAAAUGGAAGUGAACCAGUGAUUUUGAGUUACAAUCAGUUUCUGAGUUGUUUAAGAGUUUGAACAUGCUUAAAAUCAUCAAGCAAAGUUGUUUGGUUAGUCACAUGAGUUGUUGAAUCACUUCCACUUGUUUUUGGGUUCAAAACCACCAUUUCAGUCCACUUUUCUUGUGCAGAAUACACUUUCAACCACUGUUUUUGGUAUUUUUACUCAAAAUCAUUUCUGGAUUGUAGAAUAAGCUGGUUCAAUGUUUAAAAAUGAUAUUAAAUGAUCAAAAGAAGUAUAAUACAGUGGUAAAAAACAUAUAGAACCUUGCAAUCCAGAUUAGAAGCCCAGAAAUUCAAGAACUCAAAAUCUGAAAUUCAUUGGGGCAUUUUAUCAAACACCUUUGCAAAAUAUCAAACAGUUUGGGUCUGGACUUGGUUUAAUCUGUGAUUUUGAUUUCUUUGCUUUCUUAAUCUGUUCUAGCACCGUUCUUAGGAUCCAUUUGAGUGCCUACUUCUGUUCUAAACCUAUUUUAUUGUUUUUAAGCUUUUUGGCCUCUUAAAUUGUCCAAUUCAAGUCAAAUUUUGGUGUUGAAACCAAUGCAGAUUUCUAAUCUGUUUGGUGACUGUUUUGGAUGAUUUCAAUGGUUUUGUAAAGUCUAAUUGGUGCAUUCAAGUUGCAGAACCCUUUCCCUACCAAGGUAGCAUCUUUGGAAUUCAAGUGUGUUGUCCAGCAAGCAUAAUUUUCACUUUUCAGCAGCAUAAAACACUGAAUUUUUGGCAACUUCACCACCCAAAUAUUGAGAUACAUGCCAAAGAGUUGAGUGUUGGUGAGAUUGAGUGUAUAUCAUCCAAAAGAAACUUGCUAGUGGAGUGAAAAUAACCUGAAACAGUCCAGGAAGUGAGAUUUGAGUGGCUGCACCUAAAAGCCAAGUUACCUUUGUUGAGAAAAAGAGUGAUCAGUUUUAAGCUGCUACAAUUCUUAUUAUAUUGGUUAUUGUCACUGCAUCUAACCCUCUUCUAUUUGAUGAUUAAGUUCAUUCAGGCAAUUGUGAAGCUGAACAAAAGGAUAAUCUUCAAGGAACAUUCUGACAAAUCUAAAUACCACUGAAUUGAACUCUGUAUAGCUGAUUAAAAUCUGAUUUUAAGAAGCUUUGUUUCAAUCAAUGUGCUGAACUUAUUCUCAUUAGCCUAACACACUGUUUGAUCAGUUUGGCAAAAUUAUAAACUGCACUGAACCAAAUUUUUCGAAGUAACCACUACACUAAUUCAUUGUUGUAUCUGCUGGAUUAUGAUAUGUUGCAGAUGUGCAAAAUUAAUUAGGAACUACUUGUAUAAGCCAACAACCACAGUUUCAUAAGAUCUUUGAGCUAGGCAACGUGCAAAUCCUCAAGCCUACAUCUGAUUGCAAAUCAAUUGCUGAAUACAAAUUGUUCCAUAGCAGAAAACAAGUUCUAUAGUAGCCAGUUCUAGUCUUCAAGAUUGAAACAGCAAUGUAUAAGAGUUGAAUGAUCAAAACAAGCAAGGAGGCAGCUGGACAAGUUCAAGCAGUGCACAUAUGGAGCAGCAAAGUAUUGUGGCUUGAUCUUUUGGAGUUUGAAUGUGUAGUCUGUUUUAGAUUUAGUGGCAAGAAGAAGAAGAAAAUAGGUUGGAAAAGCAUCCUUCUCAAGAAAAGAAGAAAAAGACAAAGGUAUGCAUGUUGUUAACUUCUUCAUCAACAGGUAAAUAUCUGGACUAUUCUUCUUCUCAAAAACAUCACUUUGUUUCUUCAUUUCAUCAUGGGGAAUGUUCCACACAAAGUGAAAACAAAAAGGCCAACACUUCUAAUAAAUUUUUUGUCAAAAGGCCUUCAUUUUAUCUCCUUCUCUUUGUAUAUAUCUCAUUCAUCAUAUUAAUUUUUGCUAUUUUUUGUAGAUACAUCUUUGACUCAAGUGCAAGAUAAGCACCAAAUUUGUACUUAUUCUUUUCUUCCCGAUUUAAGGACAAGUUGUUUUUAAAGAGGGAGGAAAUGAUGGCAAAACAAUUUGUAAGAGUUUAGAAACCACCUUUCUUGAUACCACAAGAUAUGAACAUGCACCUCCUUUGAAUCUUCACAAAGGAUGAGACACCUCCUCCGAAUACUUCAAGAAGGAUGAAACACCUUCUCUGAAUAUUUCACGAAUGAUGAUCCUCUUCCACACACCUCCUUAAACGCACCAAGGAUGAACCAGUUAUUCCUUUGUCACCGUAGUAGCAAUGUAACAACACCACAGACAAGAGUUUCUUAGCUGAGCAAGAGCACACAAUUCUAAAAUAGUUCUAAGUAUUUUAGCACAAGGGAAGAGUUGUUGUUAAUGGA